UACGUAGGGGGCCAGCGUUGCUCGGAAUUACUGGGCGUAAAGGGUUCGUAGGUGGUGCGGCAAGUUGGGAGUGAAAUCUCUGGGCUUAACUCAGAGGCUGCUUUCAAAACUGCCGCGCUCGAGUGCGAGAGAGGUCAGUGGAAUUGCAGGUGUAGCGGUGAAAUGCGUAGAUAUCUGCAGGAACACCCGUGGCGAAGGCGGCUGACUGGAUCGCAACUGACACUGAGGAACGAA
rnacentral:rRNA from 1 species